rnacentral:rRNA from 1 species
AACGAACGCUGGCGGCAUGCCUAACACAUGCAAGUCGAACGAACCCUUCGGGGUUAGUGGCGCACGGGUGCGUAACGCGUGGGAACCUGCCUUUAGGUUCGGAAUAACUCAGAGAAAUUUGAGCUAAUACCGGAUAAUGUCUUCGGACCAAAGAUUUAUCGCCUUUAGAUGGGCCCGCGUUAGAUUAGAUAGUUGGUGGGGUAACGGCCUACCAAGUCGACGAUCUAUAGCUGGUCUGAGAGGAUGAUCAGCCACACUGGGACUGAGACACGGCCCAGACUCCUACGGGAGGCAGCAGUGGGGGAAUAUUGGACAAUGGGCGAAAGCCUGAUCCAGCAAUGCCGCGUGAGUGAUGAAGGCCUUAGGGUUGUAAAGCUCUUUUACCAGGGAUGAUAAUGACAGUACCUGGAGAAUAAGCUCCGGCUAACUCCGUGCCAGCGGCCGCGGUAAUACGGAGGGAGCUAGCGUUGUUCGGAAUUACUGGGCGUAAAGCGCGCGUAGGCGGCUUUUUAAGUCAGGGGUGAAAUCCCGGGGCUCAACCCCGGAACUGCCCUUGAAACUGGAAAGCUAGAAUAUUGGAGAGGUAAGUGGAAUUCCGAGUGUAGAGGUGAAAUUCGUAGAUAUUCGGAAGAACACCAGUGGCGAAGGCGACUUACUGGACAAUUAUUGACGCUG